UCCAAGUUGCUGGUGUAUAUACUGCUUGCAAGAGGACUGGAGGAAGCAGAAAAAAUCACUGUGCUGUGAUUCAUUAGCAGAAAAAAUCACUGUGCUGUGAUUCAUUAGCAGAAAGGUUCUGGAUCUGUCUAAGCACUGCUAUAGUUGCAAGGUCAAAGAUGCUGAGGGUGCUAUGGACCAGCUCCCUUAAUCCAGCUGCUAUUGUAGGUGGCAAUUCAGGCUGGUUUUGGAGCCCUUCUGAAAGAGCCCUCCAGACGUCUAUCAGAGCUGACUACGGAAAAUUUCUCAUGGCACAAUAUGUUGAUGAGGGAAUGAAAACUUGUCAGAACUUCUGUCCUCUGACACGAGGAAGAGGAAGGCCAUCUGAUGCUUCCUUCAGAACAAAAGUGGAUGUCCAGAAGAGCUGAACUUUGUACAGAUUUCUUCAUAGGAAAAAAAGCUGUCUUUUAUCCAGGCCCUGCUACUCAGCUUUCCAGUGCAGCAUGAGAUCUGCAGAGAAACUACCCGCCAUGAAGAACAAUUCAUGCACUGUUGAUUUUUCAGAAGAUGUCAGUAAACUACAUACUUUCCAGAGACACCCAAAGUAAAGAGUGUGCUGCUACCCCACCAGGGAAGUGGAAACAGAUUUUCACCUCAUGAUGUUACUCCAGGAGCCUGAAGACAGUCUGAACCGCUGGGAUUAAGGCAUAGGAACUGUGAGUGGUUGGGGAUGACAAAGUUUGUGUAGAAAUUUGAAACCAGAGAAACUACUGCUUGUAGUUAAACAAAAGAAAUUCCAUAACAAAGAGAGAUGAUGGGAAAAAAAAAAAAAAAAAAAAAAAACCUGCCUGGAAAAUAUUCAGCAGUUCACAAUUUCUUAAAGGACUGAAAUCUAGUGUUGCCUUGACUAAAUCCUGCUGACAAAGGCAGUUUCUGCAGCAGCAUUCAGGAUCCUCCAGUGUUCUGUGAUUUAUUUUGCCUGGUUUUGUCCCCUCUCUUCAGUCUUCAGUUGCUUUGUACAGCUACAGAACAUCAAGAGGAAAGGUUCCAGUGUUUCCUACGUCUUUGCAAGUUGGGUCUUCUGAAUUCUUUUUAUUCAUCUGUCUUCUGCCUUCCUGGGCAGUUUUGGAUUUCUGCAAAAUGUUCUACAUAGGACUUUAAAUUCAACUUGAAAGUUUCAAUCUGUGAGAAGAGUAUCCAUCAACUCCAUCUUGCAAAUGUGUUUCUGGAUAGCACAGCAUAAGAUGCACGUUACUUCUUUUGUGUGGUUAUGUGAGGGUCUCUCCUUUACCAAGUAUGCAAGGUAAUGUUUAUUCCAGCUCUUGCAAUUCAUUAUGAUGGCUGUUCCUUUUGUUAGUAAUGUUUGCUCAGUUAAGGAGUCUGCUUAUUUCCUUCUGAGACUAAGGUUGUUUUCUUCAGUAGCUGUAAAUGCCCUACAGAGCUAGAUUUGACAUCCUUGUGGACACUCAGACAGGCUGCAGUCUUUACAGAAGCACACAAAUGGCUGCACUUCACAUGGAUUCUCAGGGCUGUAGAAUAGCUCCUGCUUUCCUCCCUGUUAUUAAUUCAAGGUCCCUAUCCUCCCCGAUGUGUCUAUGCUGCACAAAGCGAGAUGAACGCUGCUGUGCAAUAUGUUUUAUAUCCUCUGCUAUGAAGAGAAAAAUCUUUCCUCACCAACAAAGAUUUUCCUUACAAUGCCACAUUAGUGUUGUUCCAGAAAAGUCCAUAUUUUCUUUAAGGAAACAUACCAAAAUAAAAUCCAAACCAACUUCUGUUUAUUAACCUGCAUGGGAAAAUUUUUUCCCUAGGCACUUCUGAAUGCUGUCAGCAAGGAAACUGUAUGGCUUUUCACCAUCUGGAAAUGUUGUAUGAGUGUUGUUUUUUCACCUGCCUCUGCAAGAUCUAAGGUUUAGGUUAAUUGCUGUAAAAAAUAGAUGUCCAAAAAUUCAUAUACAGAUAGUAGGCAAGGACAGAGAUGAAGAGGCAUCCCCAGGCAGCCAGAGUUGAUUUGUAAGGAGCAGAAACCCACUGUUUCUCUUCUUGUACAGAUACCAGCGCCUGUCUAAUAACAUAAAUAGUUGUCUUAUGACUACUCAGUUGACCUGAAGUAAAACACAUGAUUUUCCAUAUUGAGGCUUUGUUUCACCUCAUCCAAAUCUGUUCCUCAGCACUCCUUUCUUCAUGCAUAUUGACACACAUAUGGACUCAAGUAAAAUGAUGGAGGAGCAUGAGUAAAAGAGAGUCCUUGCACAUGCUUCAAAGAGCCUUGGACUAUUUUGCUGGGAAAACUACAAAAAGGAAGAACAUUUGCCUUUGAAACAGAAACUUGAGUUACCUGAAGCAGAAAACAUUUCGGGUUGCUCUAUCACUCAUCCAACUAUAACUCAAUAAAGCAAAUAAGCUGUGUUGUUAGCAUGUAAUUUAGUUGUUAUUCAGGCAGCAGGUGCUGAAGGAAUGCUUUAAAAUGCAUACCAACUGGCAGGAAAGUAAUCAUGGAAAUUAUACAAAAUUCAAAUGCAUUUGCACAAUGCCUUAAUCUCAUCUUUAAAUGUACUCCACAUAAUUUCUCCUGUAAAUUAGGACGUGAUGUAAAAUCCUUUGGAGGAAACGUGAAAAAGCUCUCCCUGUUUUGGAGACUUCAUUAUCAGCCCUUUUUGUUUUAUUGUCAGUAAAUAAUUUCACUUCAUGAAUGUAGGUCAUUUCCUUGAUGUCUGUCAGAAAAAGAGACUAGAAGAGCCUCUGGAAAUGAGGAUCCCAAUAAGAAGUAGUAGUUUAGGAGAUGGUAGAUACACAAGUUGGGAGAAUUCUUGAAAGCGUUUGAAAUCUUGUUCUGGGGAAACACAAUUGUAUGUCAGCCUUGCAGAUUGACAAGACACGGAGUUUUCAUUCAUUUUCCCAAGUAAUUAUUAUACCACUGUGUGGUGGUCUGCUGCAAAGAGGGUAACCAGAUCUUUGUCUGAUUCAUGUAGUUCCUUCUGUGAGAGGACAUCGGCAGUUGCUGUGAUAACAGCAUUCCUUGAACGCCCCAUCCCUCCUCUAAUCCCAACCAUGAAACAUUGUUACUUCCAUGGUAGGAAUGUUUCACUUUAUUUUAAUUAUGAUCUUUCCUGCACAUAAUGUAAAUUGCUGUUUGACUCUUGCUUCUUGCUCAAAUCUCACAACCCUAAGACAACAGCAAGUCAUCCUCUCCAUAGCAGAAUGUCUCCUUCACUGCAUGACUGACUCUGGGCAUCAGAAGUUUUGCAAGGACAAGCAGGUUACCUAGACUGAUUAAAUUACAAAUCAGAGCAACUCUGCUACUGGGAUGAACUAAUCAAACACACUCUCUGUCCUCUUUCUAAGGUUAAAAUAAUCCAUCUCCUUCAAUCUUUCUCUAAUGGGCUAUGUUUUCUGCUCUCUCUGGAGUUUUCAGCUUGUGUAUAUCUUCUCUGUCUACUGGGAUAUACCUGUAAAAGUAUGGAUUUCCCAAGCUAAUGUAACUGCUGAACAGAUUGGAAAAGAAUAAUUGUCUUCCACCCCUUAUAUACUAUAGUGCUGUAAAUAUACCCCAGUGUUGGCUAUGUCUUAUCUCCCUGACACCAUGGAUUUGUGUAGUUUGUACUUGAUAUAGCUGAGAACCCUUUUCUGCUUUCCAGUUUGGCUCAAUGAUUCUUCCCCAUUUAUUUUCAUAUUUACCUUCUCCUUCCUUAUGGUAGGCCCUCAUUAUUGGGCUCCCUGCCAUCGACUACAUUUUCUACAGUGAUCUUGGGUCCUGAGGUCAAAUAGCUGGCAUGUGCUGCCCUUACUCACGUUAUUAGUUACAACUUUUAUAACUAGUGCUAUCAAAGAUGCUAAUAAAUUGGAAAAAAAAUGGAAUCAGAGUGAAAACCAGUGGGAUCUCAUUUGAUUGCUGUUAAUUUAACAGGUUAUUAUUGAAAACUACUCUUCUAAACUACACCUCCAAACAGUUCUAUCCUCAUCAUAAAGUGCUUACAUAUUUCUUUAUACACACUCAGAAAGGAAAAUUUAAUAUUAAGCUUCUGGGCUCAUCUAUUUUCUUCAUCUCUGCUGAAUCAGAUGUCAUCACUGUGAAGAGAGACUUCAGGAAAACAAGAGGGGAUUAUUUCUUGUCUUUCACUAGGGAGUCCUUGAAGUUCUAUCUGAAACAUAUUCUGUUUGUGAUUUAAUGGGACAAGAUGUAGAAUAGAUCAGCGGACCUGCAGUUUAUCUAAUAAUGCAGUCCUGUAUAUUGUCAUUAUUUCUUUGUCAUACAUUUUCUCUUUGCUGGCAAAUAUUUAGUAGAAUUUUGAAGAGAAUAAAUUUUACACUGGCAAUAGGAAGAACCUCACUGAUAUUAGGGAAACUCCUUAAAUCACCUAAAACACUGGCAAAACAGCCUUCACUCUUCUUCAGAAUGCAUCUAUGAGCCCUAAAGAGACAGAAUUAGUAAGCUUGUUCACAGUUUCAUGUAUCUAGUUUUGGAAAUAAGUGCUGGCCUUUGAUCUUCUGGGCAAUUCUUCCAAUAAAAAGAAAAAACUUUGUUUUCCCCUUAAACUUCAUGAAAGAUUUUGUCACACUUGCUUUUUUUUUCCUAGGUGUGAGAACAAAGAAAAGAAAGAGAACUCAGUGGAACAGAAGGGAAUGUGAAGGGAAUAGUUUAGAAUAGAAAUAGAAAUGUAACAUUAGCUGUAACUUCUGCUGGCAUUGUAAAGUAUAAUAAAAGAGAAAUCACAGUGUGCUUCAAAGAAGUUUCUUUUCAUAAACUCCAUUUGCACAAAGCUUGUUGUUAUGGGCUUUUAGAAAAAAAAAAAAAGCCAUUAGAUGCAAUUUGAAAAUCAUGGACUUUUUAUGUUGUAUGAUUCUUGUUGUAUGAUUCUUUUACGCGAAAUUUACAAUGUCAUUACCAGCUGGUUUGUGAGGAGAAUUUAUACAGUGCUGUUCUUCAUAGAAAAUGAAUUCUUGUGAUGGGUCAAAGUUUUGGAGAGGCUUAAUGUGAGGUAAGCAAAGAAUUUUAUGGAUAAUCGGUAAUACUCAUAUUGCAAGUAUUUUUCUCUUUCCUUCCAUCGCUGUGGUUUAAAGUGGACACUUUUCUCAACUUUGUAUUUUAUUUCAGUAACUUUGAAUGUUGUAUCCAUAUCAGACAAGAACUCCACCUUCUGGAGUAUGAAAUGAGUGGCUGUAGAGCCUGACUGGGUUUCAACAGUUUGCUACUGGACAAAGAAACAAUUACAAGCAAGGUGUACCAUCACCAACAUACUUAACAGGAGAAAGGUGUGACAGAUGAGGCAGUCAGAUUAAUAACCAUAUAGCAAACAGAACAGAAGCUUACGCAAACAAAAGAUUGAUAAAAAGAGAACACAUGGGCUGCAUAAAAGAGAUACCUACACAGAACCCAAAUUAGGUAUCAUUAUCAUAGGAACUCUGUAGGCCUUUUACAUAUACCGUGCUUGAUAACUAUCAGUAUCUUCCUUCCUUCCUUCCUUCCUUCCUUCCUUCCUUCCUUCCUUCCUUCCUUCCUUCCUUCCUUCCUUCCUUCCUUCCUUCCUUCCUUCCUUCCUUCCUUCCUUCCUUCCUUCCUUCCUUCCUUCCUUCCUUCCUUCCUUCCUUUCUUUCUUUUUUAAAGGAUAAUACAAAAAUGGAUCAUGCAAACAAUAAGGAUAAAAAACAUCCAUUAUCUUGCAAGUACUAAAAUGUAAGAUCAAGAGAUGUAAGAAGAGACCAGCAAGAUGUGAAAGGUAAUAGAUUGUUUGUUAUGGGAAGUUGUAGAAAUAGUGAAGAACAUGGAGUAGUUUUCUAAACAAUCUUGCGUGUAAGUGAUCAGAUAUCAAUUAGAAGCACAUGGUUAUUCAGCAACUUAAUUCUAGGUCA